rnacentral:rRNA from 1 species
UUUCCCUACGGGACGCAGCAGUGGGGGAUAUUGCACAAUGGGGGGAACCCUGAUGCAGCGACGCCGCGUGAGUGAAGAAGUAAUUCGUUAUGUAAAGCUCUAUCAGCAGGGAAGAAUAAAUGACGGUACCUGAGUAAGAAGUCACGGCUAACUACGUGCCAGCAGCCGCGGUAAUACGUAGGUGGCGAGCGUUAUCCGGAAUGAUUGGGCGUAAAGGGUGCGUAGGCGGCCUGCUAAGUCUGGAGUGAAAGGUACCGGCUCAACCAGUACAGGCUCUGGAAACUGGCGGGCUAGAGAGCAGGAGG